CCCCGGUAAACGGCGGCCGUAACUAUAACGGUCCUAAGGUAGCGAAAUUCCUUGUCGGGUAAGUUCCGACCUGCACGAAUGGCGUAAUGAUGGCCAGGCUGUCUCCACCCGAGACUCAGUGAAAUUGAACUCGCUGUGAAGAUGCAGUGUACCCGCGGCAAGACGGAAAGACCCCGUGAACCUUUACUAUAGCUUGACACUGAACAUUGAGCCUUGAUGUGUAGGAUAGGUGGGAGGCUUUGAAGUGUGGACGCCAGUCUGCAUGGAGCCGACCUUGAAAUACCACCCUUUAAUGUUUGAUGUUCUAACGUGGACCCGUAAUCCGGGUUGCGGACAGUGUCUGGUGGGUAGUUUGACUGGGGCGGUCUCCUCCUAAAGAGUAACGGAGGAGCACGAAGGUUGGCUAAUCCUGGUCGGACAUCAGGAGGUUAGUGCAAUGGCAUAAGCCAGCUUGACUGCGAGCGUGACGGCGCGAGCAGGUGCGAAAGCAGGUCAUAGUGAUCCGGUGGUUCUGAAUGGAAGGGCCAUCGCUCAACGGAUAAAAGGUACUCCGGGGAUAACAGGCUGAUACCGCCCAAGAGUUCAUAUCGACGGCGGUGUUUGGCACCUCGAUGUCGGCUCAUCACAUCCUGGGGCUGAAGUAGGUCC
rnacentral:rRNA from 1 species